UUGUAAGUUCUUUUAUCUGGUAUAGCACAAGUCAGUUAAUAUUAUGAGAUACUGAUUUUGAUUUAAUAUUUCUGUGUUUUGCUGCUCUUGCUCCUGCAAUUCAUCCUGAAAGUUGGAAUCCUAUGUGGUCUGUUUCAAGCAUACUCACAGGGCUUCUUUCAUUCAUGAUGGACAACAGCCCAACCACUGGCAAUGUAAACACCACAACCGCCGAGAAGCAGCGUUUAGCAAAAUCUUCCCUUUCUUUCAAUUGCAAGAAGUAGGUCUAUUGCAUCAUCUCUUCACAAGUCACCAUAGAAUUUAGCAAGGUU